rnacentral:rRNA from 1 species
AGUGAACGCUGGCGGUAGGCCUAACACAUGCAAGUCGAACGGCAGCACAGUAAGAGCUUGCUCUUACGGGUGGCGAGUGGCGGACGGGUGAGGAAUACAUCGGAAUCUACUUUUUCGUGGGGGAUAAUGUAGGGAAACUUACGCUAAUACCGCAUUCGACCUACGGGUGAAAGCAGGGGAUCUUCGGACCUUGCGCGAUUGAAUGAGCCGAUGUCGGAUUAGCUAGUUGGCGGGGUAAGGGCCCACCAAGGCGACGAUCCGUAGCUGGUCUGAGAGGAUGAUCAGCCACACUGGAACUGAGACACGGUCCAGACUCCUACGGGAGGCGGCAGUGGGGAAUAUUGGACAAUGGGCGCAAGCCUGAUCCAGCCAUACCGCGUGGGUGAAGAAGGCCUUCGGGUUGUAAAGCCCUUUUGUUGGGAAAGAAAAGCAGCAGGUUAAUACCCCGCUGUUCUGACGGUACCCAAAGAAUAAGCACCGGCUAACUUCGUG